rnacentral:rRNA from 1 species
GGCCAGACUCCUACGGGAGGCAGCAGUGGGGAAUAUUGCACAAUGGGGGAAACCCUGAUGCAGCGACGCCGCGUGAGUGAAGAAGUAUUUCGGUAUGUAAAGCUCUAUCAGCAGGAAAGAAAAUGACGGUACCUGACUAAGAAGCCCCGGCUAACUACGUGCCAGCAGCCGCGGUAAUACGUAGGGGGCAAGCGUUAUCCGGAUUUACUGGGUGUAAAGGGAGCGUAGACGGUGAAGUAAGUCUGAAGUGAAAGGCGGGGGCUCAACCCCCGGACUGCUUUGGAAACUGUUUGACUGGAGUGCAGGAGAGGUAAGUGGAAUUCCUAGUGUAGCGGUGAAAUGCGUAGAUAUUAGGAGGAACACCAGUGGCGAAGGCGGCUUACUGGACUGUAACUGACGUUGAGGCUCGAAAGCGUGGGGAGCAAACAGGAUUAGAUACCCUGGUA